UCUAUGUCUCGUUACUUCACUUCACCUCUCAAACUCUAGAUUCUAGUUUCUUAGGAACUAAACCAUAUUUACUCAGUUAACCAAUAGGGAAAUCCAAUCUUAGAAAGAUUUGAAAAUAUCUCUAAUGAUCUUCAAGAUAUGGCAAGUUGCUUUCAUCUCUUCUUCUCACCUUAAAAACUCACGAUAUCUCCCCCAUACCUUCUCUAUUUUUACCUUCUUAUAACCCAUACGUAACACUCAGUUAGCCAUUCAAGAUCACUUCCAAAUUCAGCCCCUCCCUUCUCCACGAGACCCAUCAAAAACAGAGGAAGAAAUGGAGCUGCUGCCUCCUCCUUUUUAGCUUCCUGUCACAGCAUUUAGCACCUGUCUUGAACCCAUUUUUAUUCCAAAAAUACCCCUUAAACAUGUCUCCUGUUACUGCUAUGUUUGAAGUCAACAAAACUGCCCCAAAACUCUUCUUUUUAUUAUGUUCUUGCUGAAUUUUCGAGAACCUACACACACAAAUAGUUGCUGAAUUCCAGGUACCAAAUAAGCUCCUGAAAACCUUCCUGUUGCUGUCAUUUUUCGAGAUCAUAACAACCCAUUUGAAAGCCAUUUUCGAGUGACAUAGAUCCCAUGACAACCUCUUCCAUGAUGCCUAGAAAGAUGGUGUUCAACUCAUGACAUAACAAUCGUUUGUGAUAGUAUUAGAACAAAGUCCUCCCCAAGAAUACUUCCGACACAAGCCUUCGAGAAACCGGGAACAUCUCGACAUCUUUGAACCCGAUAACGAUACGCAACUAAAGUCGACAGUAGACAGGUACCGAGGCCAGCUUUUGAGAAGAUGGAGCGCAUACAAGACUCAUCUUAUUAUUUUGAUUUACUUUUUGGUGUCUAUAACUGUACAGAACACUUGUAUUAAAAUUAUAUAUUUAAUGUAAUGGAUGAUGUUGU